AGAGGACCGCCCCCCAUUUCCCUCUCCUUUCCAGCCACCGCCCACCUCCAUUCCCAUCUCAAAUUCAUUGUUCCACUUUCACCGGUAGGACCAAGCCACCUCCCACCUCCCUUUCUUCUCCCAGUCAUCGUUGUACUCCUACCGAUGAACCACAAUCGCCUAUCUAUCUCGAGAAUGGAGACCACCAGUGAAUAGUCGCUCCACGCAAUUGGUGGAGACAAUCAAUGAUACCGCCUCACUCCUCACCCUCAUCGCGCCUCUCAUCUCCUCCGACGAACACACCGUCGUGUCUCCCCAUGGCCGCCCUUUUCUCUUUCCUUCUUCGCUUAAACUCUGGGUAAUCGAACCAGAUGUCGACUAAAUAGUAGCGAAGCCGGUACUACCAUAGAUAGAGCAGGAUUGACCGUGUAACUUCAAAGUCGCAUUAAUUUUGUUGAAGAUGGGUCUAUCUCGGAGAUCACGGGUUCAAGACUUGGAAACAGCCUCUGGCAGAAAUGCAAGGUAAGGCUGCGUACAAUAGACCCUUGUGGUCAGAUCCUUCGUCGAACCCCGCGCAUUGUGGGAGAUUUAGUGCACCGGGCUUCCCUUUUUUAUUAUGCCUAUAGGAUUUAAUUAUACUUUGAACAUAUUAUGUUAUAUAGAAAUCAUGCCUAUAGAAUAUAAUAAUAUUUCAAA